GCUGCUAAUACAGCACCAUUUUAGCAUGUCUUAAAAGAUUUUCUUUUAAAUUUAUUUUUCAUAUGUAAGGGAUUGACAUUUCACUUUUAUCUUUGCUUUCUGCUUGCUACCCUGUCAGUAUUUACCAAGCUCACUUACAGGUUUGAAGAAUCAGUUUACCUAAACCCAAGAAAGAAUACAAAGCAUUGGAAAAUUCCUGACAGAGAAAAAUUAUAAAUCCCACCUUUUCCUAGAAGAUGGGAAAGUCUGCAUCUUGUGAAGGACCAAGAGCCCCACUGUGCCCAAAGAAGUCACAUCAUCUGUACUCUGCUCCAGCACUGUCCUUGAGUCACCCCAUUCCUGAGAUGAGCCCACUGUGCAAAAAAAAAAAAAAAUCCAUUCUCACCUGUGAAUUCUGCACUGAGUCCCCAGCCAUAUUAUAGGAGUUUGGAGAUCCUGUGAUUUAGCUCUGAGUCACUGUCCUCGGACUGCACCUCACCCUCUCCUUUUCCUCCCCUUCUCCAGAGGUUUGGAUCAGAGGCUGACAUCAAUCCAACCUACAAGCAUUGUGUCCAGCUGGUGUUAUCCUCGAACAUGAAACUGCUCAAAAGCUCAAGGAAAAAAAUAAAGGGCAAGAAUUCUAGCCCCGCCUCCAAAUGGAAGAAUCGGAAUUGGCCCUUUUGCAGUCUUCUCCACUGAUAUGUAAGCCUCUUAGGACAUUUUGGGCUGCUGUACAGGAACACUGCACACAAGGGUGCCCAUCUGAGCAUUUCAUAAGAGUCAUCGAUGGACUGACCAAAGGACCACAAGAAUGAAAGUACUGAGUGGACUCUAGAUAUGGAGAUGCACUGGACAGACAACACUUCAGGGGAGGAUUUGACUUCCAACAGCAAUGGAUGUGCUCGGUUCCAGCAAGCAAAAGAAUACCUUUCCUAGGAAAUUCUACAUGGAGACCUAAUCUACAUAACAAAUAAAUUCAAAAUUUCUAAUAAGUGAUGCGAGUUCUCUCUCUCAACCACCCUUACAUUCCCCUAUUCUCAUCCUCCUGAAUGCAUGCAUCAUUUAGUUGAAAUUCUCACAAAAGCUCUAUGAGGUAAGUUCUUUAUUAUUGCUUGUCUUUGCUUGCUUUAUCAUAUCUUUCUGUUUUUGCCAUUCUGUGAUGAUCAACCAAAAUCAUAUAAGUAGUGUUUGAUGGAGUUGGGUUUAGGCCAUCUACAGAACACCUACAGAACCCUCACUAAUAACCUGAAGUUUUUAUGCCUAUUAAAAGCCCAACAUCAUUCUCAUAAGUGAAAAUUCUCUCAGUAUUGAUUUCCUGUCAAAUGAAAUAGAAGAAACAGUAAUUAUUGUCAUAUUAUUGUUAAUAUUGAUAUAACAUCCAAAAGGAGCAUACUUAAAUAUCCUGAUUCAGUGUGACAUUUUUAAAAUAAAUUUAACAUUAAUGAAAUGACUUUUGAGGCUAAAAUUAUAUUAACUAUACCAAAAUUUGCAAGAAUAGAAGCUAAUGAAGGAAAUAGAACAGGUAUUUCAAUAGAAAUAGGUUUAUUGUGGAUAAACCGGUUGGGCAGGGCAGCAGAGACUGAAACCCAUCUUCCCCUUACAUCUUGGAGUAGAUAUAGAAACAUUAGGGAAUGGGGAAAUUUUUGCAAUUAGGUUAUUUUAGUGGUUUGUCAGGGAAGAGUCUUGUGGUCGUCACCUCCAUUCUUUGAAGUGAUUACUGUUCCCUGCUAACCAGGCAUCUUCAGAAUUCCAGUCCUAGGUAGCAAUCUCCUUUCUUUGCAUGAUGAUGGAGUAUUGUCUGAGGUUUACUUCAGGCUGAGUCAGAAUGACUGUGAGGUGACUCUUGUUCUAAGGUAUAUGACAUGUUUCAUAGUGUUGCCCAUGUCAAGUUCUACCUAACAAAGUUCUUCAUUUUAUCCACUUCUAUAAAUUUCCUCAUCUUUAAAAAAGGCAAAUAUAUAUCCCAAAGUCCCAAAAGUAGAAAUCCUCAAUGGUACCAUAGUGUAACAUGCAGUCAGUAUUUGUCAGUUAGUUUACUUUUGUAUGGUUUCUGAUAUACAUGACUAUUACUUUCUGCCCUUUGUAUAAGAUAUGCUUCUGAUUUUCCCCUAUAACCCUUUCUUUUACCUCUCUGGCUUAUUUCUAGAUCGUUUUUUUAACAUACACAUCUUUUAAGUGAAAAUCACAGAAUUCAGUGUGACCUCCCCUUUCAAUUUUAUUCUCUAAAACUCUUACUCAAGUGUACUCAUAUCAUCAAAUACUAUCCACAUAACUGGCUGGUGACUGCAGCUGAGUCAUCAUUACCUCUGCCCUCUAUGCUCAGAGUCAAAAUUUAGCAUCCCAUAGUCCAAUCUGGAGCUUUUCAUACAUUGUGCAAUUUUCAUGUGGCUAACAUAGUAUCAUCAAGCGAAAUGGAUGAGACAAGAGAUAUUUGAAAAGGUUUGUUGAGAAAUGAAACAAUACAAUGAAGCAACUAUUUUAGGUUAAUGGGAGACCCUUUGUUCUCCUUCCAUUUCCCUCUUUCUUCUCCUCUCCUUCCCUCUCUUCUCCUUCCUAUCUUCUUCCUCACCCAGCCUUUCCUUUCCACUUCUUUCUUCUCUCUCUUCACCUAUUUUUUUUCUUUUUAUCUCUUUUCUAAUUCCAAUGCCUCCACUUGAUAUCUGGUUCUUAAAUCACCCCAGCCUUAGUAACCUUAGAAUAGUCCUGAUUUCCCUAUUGGUAGGUAAUAGUGCAGGGACACCAAGAUAUCACAGGGAAAGUGUCCAAAGUAUGUUGUUUGGAGGACAAAACAGGGCAGCAAGUGAUAUCCCUGUUUAAGAUAAGUCUCAUUACCAAUGGCAACUGUCACCAGUAAGGACUUAUAACCAUGUCAACCCCUGCCACAAUGACCAAUGGGGGUCAAGUGGGCCAUAUUCUAAUUAAGUUUUCUAAAGUAACCAGUGAGGGAAAAUUUGGACAAUAUUCUAAUUAGGUAUAAUAAGGUAGCCAAUGGGGGGUCAAGGGGAUAGGUCUUCAAUCAGAUCCAUAUAAGGAAGAGAAUGCCUCACAGCUCAGCUGUGACACUAAUUUCCAGACAUUGGGGCUUGAGUGUCUCUCUUGCUCAGCCCACUCUGCUCUACCUUAUGGAGUGUUAUUCCACCUUCCCUUUCAAUAAAUUUGUACUUUGCUUGUUACUUGUGAGUGUUCUUGUUCAAUUCUUUGUUUAGGACACCAAGACUUGAACCCAACUAGACACCCUGAUGAUAACACUAUGCAUAAUUCCUUUCUUUCCUUCUGAGUGCAAGAGGAGACAGUCACUCCUAAAACUAUUUCUGCAGCCUAAGAAACUCAGCCCCAGUUGCACAUGCCAUCUCCUUUGCUGUUUAUCAUGGAUCACCUCUUUUGACCCCUAAAUCUCACCCCAAGAUUGUAGACAGCCUGAUGUGUCAUUUGAGAAAAAAAAAAUAUCUAGUCCUAAUCACCAUGGUGGUUGAGUUACAAGAAAGCUUUUGCUCUCCCAUUUUUUGUACUUGGGCAUUCAAAGACUAUCUUCAAAGUUAUCUAGUUUUAUGUCCCUUCACGGACAAAAUCUUGGCUGGCAUUAUUUUCUCUCCAAAGUAACAGAUCUUUUAAGUCCCACUUUCCCACCUUCACCCCAUCUACCCCGGAACCUAUUCAUUUCAUUGGUGUGACUUCAGGCUGAGUUUGGAACCGGAUGUGAUGAUAUUCGUUUUCAUUUUUAUAACUGGAAUCAAAGCAUUCAAAAUAAAAACAUUUUUUACAAGAAGCUCAUCACAAUACCCACCCUGAAUUCUUCAGGGUGAGAUGAAUUUCACUGGAUAGCCCAGGUGCAUCUCUAUACUUAGGAGCUUGGAUCACUCAUUGCUGUCAUCAAGAAAAAGUGCUUCCUUCAAAUUUGCCAAAUCACAGGUUUGCAGGGCAAUGCUUCAAAGCAGCUCUCUCCCAUUGUUAUGGGGAUGAGGGUAAGUGGCAGAGAUAGGUACCAGGUAUUGCUGAAAGAGGCUUUGAAAUCAGUCACAAAUGCUUUGGGAGUGGUUGGGGGCAGGAGAAGAUCAUGUGCAUGAUAGUCUCAAAUGGAACAAAACAAAACAAACAAAAAACAGCCCAUAAUCACCAGUGAGAGGAAAAUGCACAAAUCACCAACAGUUAUUUGAAUUGUGCUUAUUGCAGGUGUCUUUCCUGCAAAUGGCAUACUCCUAAAUUAAUUACAUUGCAAUGCCUACUUAAUAAUGCCAGAUUGCUUUCUGGUAAAUUUUUCAGACCUCUAUCUCAUAUUAUGACUUUGAAAGAAUACAACCACAAAAGAAAGAAAAAUGAAAUAUGUUCCUCUCCAUGAGAGUGCAUGGUGACUUUUGUAUUACAAGUAACACUUAUUGUUAUAUGGUUAAUGAGAAAAUUAAGCCCUGGCUGCAAUGCCACAUUUCCCUUUGUUCUUAAUGAACACUGACAUUUGUGCACAAUUAACAAUGACACAUAUAAUCAUAUGAGCCUUUGCUCGGAUUCCAGCUCAGUACAGUUGGACCAUAAGGAGAGCUCCCUGUGAGAUCAGAUCAAAGCCUCUUUGCAGUGUGUCUUUUCAGAGCAUGGCAGAGAUGAAUUAAUCGUAUCUCUCUGAUUUUAAGUAGUAUGGCCAAAGAGUAAUUGGGGAAAAGACAUGGUCAUGGUACAGGGAGCCAGCCUCUAAAGAGGUUCAUGUCACAAAAGAGACAAGGUGUCAUGCCCAGCAGUGUCUGUUUGCAAUUUUCUGCUUUAUAAUUUUCUCACAGAUAUUUAAAAUUAAUUUAGCUCUCUUCUCUUUUAAUAAGAGAUAGAACAAAGUGCUCUUUGGUCAUCAUUCAUAGCACAUUAACUACAAUUAUAUCAACAUAUCUUUGUCUGCUUCUUUAUGGAGUUUUUAAAUUUUUUUUCCCUUUCCAUCCUCCUUUGGAGAGCUCUUGGGAAGCAACUUUAGCUAAUAAUUAAUAAUGAGAAGAUUCUCCUGAGGAAAUCGUUUUGAAUUGUUAUGUUCUUCCUAUAAAUUGUCAUUUCAGAAUUCUAAUCAGCAGAAUUUGGAUUCCAAAUGGUAGGUAAUUACAGUGGCCCAUUGCAUCUGAAUUGAUUAAUAUGUAAAUGUAACUAAUUCCACCUUCAAAGUCAAUAUAAAGCAAUGUGCAUACUCAUGGAGAAGGGAGUUUAUGUGAUUGGGAACUUUGAGAGAAAAACCAGAUGCUGAGAUAACAAAAGCCUGUUUUGCAAUCUCCACAUAAAUUGUUCCUCUCUCUCGCUUUGUUUUUUAAAUUCAAUUGCACUUUAUUGUCUCAUUGGUCGCUGCCAUAGCUCCUGCAAACAUCUCAGUUCUUUCUGCCUUGCUACACAACCCCCAUUCAAAUCAUAUCAAUGUUUGUCUGCCUGAAACAUGAUAAAGCUCAAUGGCACUGUCAUCCAAGGCACUCUAACUGUCUAGCAAUGCUUAGUAAAGGAAACCCUCCAAAUCUUGACAGAAAGCCAAAAGCAGAACAAACAGUUUAGAGAUCACAGGGCAAUGACCAGCUGCAAAAGACUCAAAGGUGUAAUGAAUGGCAUAACAAAAUCAAGGACAGGAUAUCUGAAGUGGACAAUUCAACUGAAUUGAGGUCAAAUUUCAGACUCCCUUUUCUCUCCUAUUUCAGUUAAAAACCACAUCUUUUCUAGUCUGUUACUCUUUGUGGAUUCCUGCAGAAUACAAAUUAAAAACUUUGAAACUUUAUUUCCAAACAUUAUUUCACACAAUUUAAAAAGCAGAUUACAGCUCUUUCAGGGAUGAGCAAGGUAAACCAUUGGCAUAUCUAACUGCAUGUUAGAAACAAGAGUUCAUUGUGUUUGUUCAUUUUGUUUGUUGUAGUCCACGUUUAGGAUUCACCUACAGGGAUUGUUAUUUAUUUGGUGAAUGCAGCACAAGCAGGCAGAUUUCAAAAUCUCUACAAGUAAUGUUAUUCUGAAGCCAGGUAGAGAACCACCUUUAAUCAAUUAAGUCUAAUUCUUUCUGUGUUUCCCAGAUGUGCCAAAUAAGUUGUCCUAAAGCUGGGCUAAUGAGAAACAGGUUAUCUGAAUAUGAAGUAAGGAACAGUAGUUCUAACAUAAGCAUUUAUCCGUUCUUGUAUCUAUUCAGCAAAUAUUAAUUGAAUAUAUGCACUGUUUUGUUCACCUCUGAUAGUACAGUGAAUAAAUUUGAUAAGCCCCUACCUUCAGAGAGCUUCAUUGCUCAUGAAAAACACACUAGUUAGUCAACAAAUAAAUGAAUUAAUUGCUGGAUGAUAAUCAGAAAAUGAGAAUUCUACAAACUACAUACAACAGGGUGUUGAAUGUAGUAAAUGAUAGAGAAGAGCUGGCUUAACAUGUUGGAGGAACAGCUCUCAAGUUCAGUGAAGCUGUCAUGGGGCGGCAGGGAAAUUGGUUACUCUAAGACCAAGAAGAAGCCAAAGACCACAGUAGGCAACUCCCUCUCAGUUAUGGAUAGGAGUUGGGCUUUUGUUCUGAUUUAUGUUGGGAAAUUAUGUUAGUGUUAUGGUUCAGAUAUGAGGUGUCCCCCAAAAGUUCAUGUGAGAAAAUGCAAGAAUUCUCAGAGGGAAGAUUAUGAGAGGGGUGAACUAAUUGGUGGAUUAAUCCAUGGAUAUGGGUUAAAUUUGCAAUAACUAGAGAAAGUACAUGGCUGGAGGAAGUAUGCCACUGUGGCCAUGACUUUUAGGUUUAUAUUUUGUCCCUGGUGAGAGAAGCCCUCCUUCUGCUUCCUGGCUGUCAUGUCUUAAGCUACUUUCUUUUUCCACAUCUUUCACCACGAUGUUUGGCCUCAUCUUGGGCCAGAGCUAUGGAGUUGGCUGACCAUAGACUGAACUUCUGAAACCAAAAGAAGCCAAAAUCCUCUAUAUUGUUCUGGCUGGGUCUUCUGUUCAGCGUAAUAAAAGAGCUAACUAAAACAUUUGGGGUUGAUUAAGUGGAGUAUGUUAUGAGGAAAAUGUUGGAUACAGGUGGGACAAAGAGAUCAUAAAGAGUGGCUUCACUGAUCACCAUCAGUAAUGACAAGGAAAUGAGUGGCUAUGACCAUUAGAGUUUAUGUCUGAGCUGCAGGAGUUUUGUUGUUAUUGUUGUCUGUUUGCUUGGUUUUUCUAAACUAUAUCACAGCCCCACCACCACUUUUUUGUGCCCUGCCUAUUCCUUCUGAUGAUGUUUUGAUAGGCAACAACAUAUUAAAGGAACCCCAAAACUUAAGAGUGUAAGUAAUAACCCUCAAGUAUAUGAUAUAACUAUGUUCAGCAAAAAAUGGCUCUCUUCUGUCCUUACCACACACAGGAGAGCCACAUUUUUCCUUCUUGACCUGACAUGUACAAUUUUAAGAAGGAAAGGUUUGUUUGGGGGUUCAUGGUCUCAAAGUUCUCAAUCCAUAGUCAUCCUUUCCUUAGUCUCAGGUGAGGCAAAAUAUUAUGGUGGAAAAGUGUGGUGGAGGGAAGCAGCUCCCAUGAUGGUUAGGGCACUGAGGGAAACUAAGCUCAGCUCACCAAAUAUAUAACCCAAAGGCAUGCCCCCAAUGACCCACCUCCAGCUAUGCCCUAUCUGCCCUCACUUACCACUCCGUCAGUCCCCAUUAAUUCACUGAUUGUGUUAAGGCUGUCAUAACACAAUCAUUUCAUUUCUGAAUGUUCUCGUAUUAUUUCACACAUGAGCUUUUGGGGGACACCUCCCAUUUAAACCAUAACAGUCUGGAGGUGAUUAAAGUGAAACAGGAUGUAAAGGAUGUGGACAUACCAAGGAUCAUAAGUCAAGCAGUAUUGUCAAUGUCCUUCCUGUGUUUCAGAGGUGGCAGUAGGCACUUACUUUAUGAACCUGUUUAACACUCAGCCCAGAGAGGUAGGUUUCUUCUACAAUUUAUAGGCUCAACGACUAAGGGUAGAUUCACUCUUUGAUCCUAGAAGCUAGCUACUCUUUAUUCCAAAAUCAAUGUUAUUAACCAGCUUAUCCCACUUUCAACCACUAGUUCCAUCUACAUUUGGAUGACAUGGAAGCGCCUCCAGGAGAGAAGAGAGGGGUCCAUCCACAACACAUGCUCCCACUUCCUUUCUUUAUCAUUUCUGUAGGAAUCAUCUUGCUUCACAGAAUCAUAGAGCAAUUUUGGAUCUAUCUAGAAGGGUUAGUGAAGACCACCACCUUUCAUUCUGCAAGAAAGAAAACUGCACAGCUUUCUAAAGCUAGAAUAGAGUUUAGGUACCAGAAUUCACAUUCUUAACCCAGUAGUAUCUUUUUUAACACACUAGGCAGCUAGCCGUUGGCUCUUUUGGAAAUGACGUGUGCUUCAAUUCUGACCUAUCCUAAGCCAAAGACUACCAGAAUCUUAAGGAAGACCUUGGAAACUGUCUCCCAAUGUUACCUGGGAAUCACUGUUACCCAGAGUUCCACAUCUGCUGAGUGGAUCAGAUUCUCUAUAAUCUGCUCUGUAAAAGAAUCUGAGAUAUUCCAGUUCUUUACAAUAUAUCAUCUUCACACAAUAAGAAAGCCAGGAGAACUGUGAUGUCUAGUAUUUGUUCAAUCCACAGUGACUAUCCUAGAAUUUCUCAGAGCCAUCCCUUUCUCUUAGAAUGCUUUACCCUCACUGGAAAUACCUUUCUUAUUUUUGAGAGAGAACUGGGAAGCUAGCAUGUUGCCCAAGUCUGUCAUUAUUUGAUAUCAUUAUCUGAUGUCAUAUUUUGCAUGCUAUUAGACAAAGGCAAUUACCAACUGCAUAAUAUGGUGUCCCCUUUUCUGUCUGCAGGAGACACAGUCACUCACACAUUUUCUAAAAUUUGUUUUUGUAGUUUGUAGAUGAACAGCAUACCUUUAUUCUUUUUAUUUAUUUUUAUGUGGUGCUGAGGAUUGAACCCAGUGCCUCACAUGUGCUAGGCAAGUGCUCUACCACUGAGCUACAGCCCCAGCUGCUCACGCAUUUUAUAUGCUUAGUUCAGAGUUAGGUAUUUGGAACACUAAGAGUCAUUAAAACCUAAUCCCUGCCUUCAAGGAGCCAAAAUCCUAUGAAAAGAUUAAUAGAUUAACAGACAAUGGCAAAGCAUGUCAUAAUUCCUCUGGAAACCUCUGAGGACAUGUUUUUGGUUGGGUUAAUCCUGUAAAUAUUUAAAUCUAUAUAUAUCAUGUUAGAGGCCAUUUAUAUUGAAUUUCUCUUCUGAGUUCAUAUCAUGUCCUCUUGUGUGACAUUACUGUACAUAGCACUUAGUUUUGUAAUUCAUCAAAUAAAAAUUUAUGAUAUAUAUCUAUUAAA